rnacentral:tRNA from 1 species
GCGCUUGUAGCUCAACUGGAUAGAGUGUCAGACUACGAAUCUGAAGGUUGCAUGUUCGAUUCAUGUCAAGCGCGCCA